rnacentral:rRNA from 1 species
UGGGCUGCAAAAGAAGUAGGUAGUUUAACCUUCGGGGGGACGCUUACCACUUUGUGGUUCAUGACUGGGGUGAAGUCGUAACAAGGUAGCGCUAGGGGAACCUGGCGCUGGAUCACCUCCUUAWACGAUGAU